GGUUAAGCGACUAAGCGUACACGGUGGAUGCCCUGGCAGUCAGAGGCGAUGAAGGGCGUGCUAAUCUGCGAUAAGCGCCGGUAAGGUGAUAUGAACCGUUAUAACCGGCGAUACCCGAAUGGGGAAACCCAGUGUGAUUCGUCACACUAUCAUUAACUGAAUCCAUAGGUUAAUGAGGCGAACCGGGGGAACUGAAACAUCUAAGUACCCCGAGGAAAAGAAAUCAACCGAGAUUCCCCCAGUAGCGGCGAGCGAACGGGGAGGAGCCCAGAGCCUGAAUCAGCAUGUGUGUUAGUGGAAGCGUCUGGAAAGGCGCGCGAUACAGGGUGACAGCCCCGUACACAAAAGCGCAUGUGCUGUGAGCUCGAUGAGUAGGGCGGGACACGUGGUAUCCUGUCUGAAUAUGGGGGGACCAUCCUCCAAGGCUAAAUACUCCUGACUGACCGAUAGUGAACCAGUACCGUGAGGGAAAGGCGAAAAGAACCCCGGCGAGGGGAGUGAAAAAGAACCUGAAACCGUGUACGUACAAGCAGUGGGAGCCCCACCACUAAGCCAGUGGUGAACUCCACAUACGCAUCCUUUGCUGAGGAUACGGUUAACGGAGCGAAAGCGACGUUCAACCGCAAAAGAAGCAGAGGGGGCUUAGUGGUGGGGUGACUGCGUACCUUUUGUAUAAUGGGUCAGCGACUUAUAUUCUGUAGCAAGGUUAACCGUAUAGGGGAGCCGUAGGGAAACCGAGUCUUAACCGGGCGUUAAGUUGCAGGGUAUAGACCCGAAACCCGGUGAUCUAGCCAUGGGCAGGUUGAAGGUUGGGUAACACUAACUGGAGGACCGAACCGACUAAUGUUGAAAAAUUAGCGGAUGACCUGUGGCUGGGGGUGAAAGGCCAAUCAAACCGGGAGAUAGCUGGUUCUCCCCGAAAGCUAUUUAGGUAGCGCCUCGUGAAUUCAUCUCCGGGGGUAGAGCACUGUUUCGGCUAGGGGGCCAUCCCGGCUUACCAACCCGAUGCAAACUGCGAAUACCGGAGAAUGUUAUCACGGGAGACACACGGCGGGUGCUAACGUCCGUCGUGAAGAGGGAAACAACCCAGACCGCCAGCUAAGGUCCCAAAGUCAUGGUUAAGUGGGAAACGAUGUGGGAAGGCCCAGACAGCCAGGAUGUUGGCUUAGAAGCAGCCAUCAUUUAAAGAAAGCGUAAUAGCUCACUGGUCGAGUCGGCCUGCGCGGAAGAUGUAACGGGGCUAAACCAUGCACCGAAGCUGCGGCAGCGACGCUGAUGCGUUGUUGGGUAGGGGAGCGUUCUGUAAGCCUGCGAAGGUGGCCUGUGAGGGUUGCUGGAGGUAUCAGAAGUGCGAAUGCUGACAUAAGUAACGAUAAAGCGGGUGAAAAGCCCGCUCGCCGGAAGACCAA
rnacentral:rRNA from 1 species